GUAGGUUUGUUGCCUCUGUUUGAUCCUCCAAGGCAUGACAGUGCUGAAACCUUUCACAGAGCUCUUAAUCUCGGUGUUUAUGUCAAGAUGAUCACUGGUGAUCAACUUGCCAUUGCUAAGGAAACUAGACGCCGACUUGGAAUGGGCACGAACAUGUACCCAUCUGCUUCUUUGCUGGGUUAAGACAAGGAUGCAAACAUAGCUGCCCUUCCAGUUGAAGAGUUGAUCGAGAAGACAGAUGGUUUUGCUGGCGUGUUUCCAGAGCACAAAUACGAAAUUGUGAA